rnacentral:lncRNA from 1 species
GACGAUCACAUAAUUAAGAACUAAUACCACAUUGAGAUAAUAUUCAUUACAAACUCCGUAAACUAAAACACCCAAAUAAAAUAAAAUCGAUUCAACAACAUGAGGUCGAAUCAAAAUACAAAUAAUUUUAGUAACUGCUUUCUCAAACACUAAUGUAACCACUCGUCUAGUAAAGUUGCUCUUGAAUAAAUUUACACUUUCAUGUACCUGUUGAAGAAAAAAAACAAUUUUAGAACAUACUUUUUGAUGAACAAGAUUUAGCCAAAAAAUGACAUAUCAUAUUUUAAUUAGUAAAACAAAUAAUAGAAUGACAAAUUAGUACUGGUAGAAAGAUGCUUACUCGAAGUUAGACAAUAAAUAUUAAUUCUUCUUUGACCGCAAAUAACCACAAGAAUUAAGAAGAAGAGAUAUAAAAUUAAGAGUACUUAAUCUCUCAAAAAAUAAAGAAUAAUAGACAAAUUUCUUCAUACCUCUACAAUAAAAUUAAAUCAAUAAGAACCCACAAAUACAUACACGUAAUAUGUCAUUUGGAGAAACCCAAAUUUUUAUUGCCCUACAACUGAAAGAGAAAGAAUUUCGUAUGAGAGACGCAACAGAAAAAAAAAUUGAAGUACAAAUAAUAUUUCUUAACUUAGCUUGAGGAUUUGUAUCAAAGCAAAGGAGGCAUCAGAAGUGGCUUUGCGUUUUAAAAUGCCUAUCACGCGAAUUUGAUCUUUUAUGCUGUUAAAUCAAUAAAAGAUAUUAGAGAAAAUUAAGCAUUAUUGAAUAAGAGGAUCUAUGAAGAAAAAGAAAUAAAAUAUUAAUGGAAGCAAUAUAGUAGAUUUAACUGGUGCAAUAAUUUGAUGGAGAAAUGAAUGUCACAAAGAAUUAAGAGAGGAAUGGAGGAGAAUUGAGAAAUGGGAGGCGGCACUACUCAACUAAAAAGAG